rnacentral:sRNA from 2 species
GGGGGAUUUUGAGACGCUGCUCGACGACAACAUCCGGGUCAUCGGAACGAAGGCGAUCACGCGCACGGGCGUGAUUCAGGGGAUCAUCUCCGAGAUCUUCAUCGGCGAGGACGGCAGCAUCGAGAAAUGC